CGGUGCGAGGGGGUCGUACGUCAUGCAGAGUGAUGGCGGAAUAUGCUGCAUGCGUGCGACCUCCUUACACAGC
ncrna:Ornithorhynchus anatinus (platypus) microRNA oan-mir-1421g precursor (oan-mir-1421g-2)